rnacentral:rRNA from 1 species
UACGUAGGUGGCAAGCGCUGUCCGGAUUUACUGGGCGUAAAGAGCGCGCAGGCGGUCGUUCAAGUCGCGUGUGAAAGCCCCCGGCUCAACUGGGGAGGGUCACGCGAUACUGAUCGACUCGAAGGCAGGAGAGGGAAGUGGAAUUCCCGGUGUAGUGGUGAAAUGCGUAGAUAUCGGGAGGAACACGAGUGGCGAAGGCGACUUCCUGGCCUGUUCUUGACGCUGAGGCGCGAAAGCUAGGGGAGCAAACGGG